CCCUUAGAUGUUCUGGGCCGCACGCGCGCUACACUGACGAAUGCAACGAGCUUAUAACCUUGGCCGAAAGGUCUGGGUAAUCUCCAAAUUUCGUCGUGAUGGGGAUAGAUUAUUGCAAUUAUUAAUCUUCAACGAGGAAUUCCCAGUAAGUGCAAGUCAUAAGCUUGCGCUGACUACGUCCCUGCCCUUUGUACACACCGCCCGUCGCUACUACCGAUUGAAUGAUUUAGUGAGGACUUCGGACUGGGACCGAUGCGGCUUUCGGGCUGCGUCGGUAUUCUGGAAAGAUGUCCAAACUGUAUCAUUUAGAGGAAGUAAAANUCGUANCA
rnacentral:rRNA from 1 species